CUUCAGGUGAAAAUACCUGAAUAAAAAUAAAGGACAAAAAGACCCUAUAGAGCUGCAUUCAUAAAAACUUAUAAAAUACAAUAUACUUAAAACACUUAUAAUGAAUUUUGUUGGGGCGACAAAGGAAUAUAAAAAUCUUCCUUAAAUAUAAAGAAAACAAUUCACUCUAAAGAUCCUUUAAAGAUCAAAGAAAAAAGCUACCUUAGGGAUAACAGACUAAUCUCCUUAAAGAGUCCAAAUUGACAAGGAGGAUUGGCACCUCGAUGUUGGCUUAAGGUAUCCCUUAGGUGCAGAAGCCUAAAAAGGUUGGUUUGUUCAACCAUUAAAACCUU
rnacentral:rRNA from 1 species